GACGAACGCUGGCGGCGUGCUUAACACAUGCAAGUCGAACGGAAAGGCCCUGCUAUUGUGGGGUGCUCGAGUGGCGAACGGGUGAGUAACACGAGAGUAACCUGCCCUUGACUUUGGGAUAACUUCAGGAAACUGGGGUUAAUACCGGAUAGGAGCUCCUGCUGCAUGGUGGGGGUUGGAAAGUUUCGGCGGUCGGGGAUGGACUCGCGGCUUAUCAGCUUGUUGGUGGGGUAGUGGCUUACCAAGGGUUUGACGGGUAGCCGGCCUGAGAGGGUGACCGGCGACAUUGGGACUGAGAUACGGCCCAGACUGCUACGGGAGACAGCAGUGGGAAGUAUUGCACAAUGAGCGGAAGCCUGAGGCAGAGACGCCGCGUGCGGGAUGACGGCCUUCGGGUUGUAAACCGCUUUCGCUUGUGACGAAGCGUGAGUGACGGUAAUGGAUAAAGAAGCACCGGCUAACUACGUG
rnacentral:rRNA from 1 species